rnacentral:lncRNA from 1 species
UUUUCUGAGGCUAAUAAUAUAACAAGCUUCCUUGGAUUUACCUCCUUCCAGAGCCACGGUAGUUACAUUGACAUCCGGCAAUGCGUAACCAAUCAAGAAACCAGUCGUGAAAGGGUGUCCGUGUCAUCUCACAGUUCCCGCCGGUCGUCACACACAGCACUGUCUGACUCUGCAUCCACGUCGUCUAUACGGCACACGGAUGCCAGCACGCCUACCCGGCCGUCGUUACCCAUGGGGCAAUCCGAGAAGGCCCCUCUGAGGCUUGCCUCAACCAGCAGCACCCCGGUAAGCCAUGUUGACCCCUCGGAGGUCUCUUUGGCCAAGGAAAGCUGGGAAGGACGCCCGAAAGGUUCUCUUCGGGAGGCUAGCAGGAAGUGUCACUGCCUUGUUGAGAUUUUGCUGUUCAUCAUGCAUCCACCAUCUAAUGGCGGGAGGGUCUUAUGACUCAGGUGCUUGGUCUUUUUAGUUGACCUACAGCAAAGACUUAGGAGGAAAACAAAGAUCUGGGCUGAUCUUGCCCUUUUAACAAGUAGGCUGAUUUCCAGCAAUGGGCAGGGAAAGUUUUUCAUAGCCUUUAGGUAUGUCUUACCUUAUCAGUACGUGAUGACUCAGUUGCUGUUAAAGCAAAUGGCACUGGAUUUUUUAUUCUUGGCUUUGGGGUUGUUGGGUCACAGCGAACAGACACUGUUCUCACAUGGCCCAGCUGUGUGUGGUCAACUGACCUGCAGAAAGGGUAGAAACCCAAGGGUAGAAACAGAUUUUGUGACAGCUGGAAGUGUAGCUGCAGGACUAGAACCCUUCUGACAGGCUGGGUUCAGGAGGAAGUAUACCUGAGGGUUUUCUUUCUUUCUUUAUGCCUAUCAGAGAAUUGCACCAUUUAAAAUUAUGGGUACAUAUGAAUUAUAGGUACAAUUAAAGCAAAUUAAAAUGUUACA